rnacentral:misc_RNA from 1 species
AUUCAUCACUUUUCAAUUUACAGGCUACAUACAUACUCCGAUCAAUUUCUGCCGGAACUAGGGUUCCGCCGGCCGGAGAAUUUCCAGUUCCGGAUCUGUCUAAUUGAAGUUGUAGAUCGCACAAUUAGUUAAGCAAAUUUGGAAUGAUUUAUGGGUGAAUUGAUUGUUUUGUUGGUGGUGGUUAGUGGUUGGUAGCUGAAGUAGAAGAAGAAGAGGAGGACAAAAGUUCAAUCAAUAUACAGAAAAUGAGUGUGAGCAACGGUUCAGUUCAUCCUGUUGACGCACCACCGUUGCAAACAGAAGCAGCUAACGUGCCGCGAGUGAGGAUGAAGGAUGUUCAAGGAAUGCCUGGGACGGUUGGUGGAUCCUUCUUACGUUUCGCUCAGUUUGUAUUUGCUGUUGUUGCGCUUUGUGUUAUGGCUACUACCAGUGAUUUUCCUUCCGUCACAGCUUUCUGUUACCUUGUCGCUGCUGCUGGCUUGCAGAGCUUAUGGAGCUUGUCUCUAGGUAUUCUUGAUGUUUAUGCUCUUCUUGUUGGACGGUGCUUGCAGAACUCUCAGGUUGUGAGUUUAUUUGCUGUCGGUGAUGGGGUCACUUCUACCCUCAUGUUUGCUGCAGCCUGUGCUUCUGCUGGCAUUACUGUACUGAUUGGCAAUGACCUUGGUGUCUGCUCACAAAAUCACUGCUUAGAGUUCGAGACUGCUACUGCCAUGGCUUUUCUUAGCUGGUUCUGUGCUUUGCCAUCAUUUCUCUUAAACUUUUGGUCACUUGCAUCCAGGUGAAGAAAGGCUCUCAAGGAAUUAGAAACGAUGCCAAAAUAUCUUGUAAAAGUACUGCCUUUUGUUUUGAUGUUGUAAAAUUUUGUCUAGAUGAUCAAUGUCCCAGAAAAACAUGCAAUUGCUACUGCAGUGUGUAAAUACUGAUUGCGUAAAGCAGGUUAAUGUGGGUAAUUGAGCUGUGCUCUAACUCUGUUGCUGGAUAUAAAGGAUUG